AGAGCUCAACCGGAACUCAAUGGGGGAACUCGAGAACUCAAAAGUCAUCAUCUUAAAGGCUCGCUGGUGUCACCUCUCAACCACUACUUCUGGCAAAAAUGCCAUGCGUCAUCCUGACUUGGCUGUGGCGCUCAACAAUUUCCAAAGGGUCCCAGGUCUGAAGUCACCAGCUGGAGAAUGACAGUUGUAAUGCUUUGCAGUUCCCACAGCCUUACUCCAACACAGAACUUGGUACAGAGCCUAAAAUUCUGCAAAGAAGUUAUGAAUCUGGCACUACCUGCUUUCUACCCUGCAUUGUUUGGCAAGAAUACCUGCUGCAGCCUCUGCAUUUGCCCCAAUUGGGGGCACUUAGCCUAACAGGCUCUGAGAAGUACUCUGAGAAGUAACAUAUGAGGCCCACAUUCUGCCCAAACUGGUUCAUCAAGAAAUUCCUUGUGCUGCUCAUAUGUCCCCAACUUAUUAGAGUUAGG
rnacentral:lncRNA from 1 species